rnacentral:rRNA from 1 species
UACGUAGGGGGCAAGCGUUGUCCGGAUUUAUUGGGCGUAAAGAGCGUGUAGGCGGCCUUACAGGUCAGCUGUGAAAACUCGAGGCUCAACCUCGAGACGUCGGUUGAAACCGUAAGGCUAGAGUCCGGAAGAGGAGAGUGGGAUUCCCGGUGUAGCGGUGAAAUGCGCAGAUAUCGGGAAGAACACCCGUGGCGAAGGCGGCUCUCUGGGACGGUACUGACGCUGAGAUGCGAAAGCGUGGGGAGCGAACAGG